rnacentral:rRNA from 1 species
GAAUAUUGGACAAUGGGCGCAAGCCUGAUCCAGCAAUGCCGCGUGAGUGAUGAAGGCCUUAGGGUUGUAAAGCUCUUUCGGCGGGGAAGAUGAUGACGGUACCCGCCGAAGAAGCCCCGGCCAACUUCGUGCCAGCAGCCGCGGUAAUACGAAGGGGGCUAGCGUUGUUCGGAAUUACUGGGCGUAAAGGGCGCGUAGGCGGCGCGUUAAGUCAGGUGUGAAAGCCCUGGGCUCAACCCAGGAAUUGCACUUGAUACUGACGUGCUUGAAUCCGGAAGAGGAUGACGGAAUUCCCAGUGUAGAGGUGAAAUUCAUUGAUAUUGGGAAGAACACCAGUGGCGAAGGCGGUCAUCUGGUCCGGUAUUGACGCUGAGGCGCGAAAGCGUGGGGAGCAAACAGG